rnacentral:rRNA from 1 species
AAUGGGCGAAAGCCUGAUCCAGCAAUGCCGCGUGAGUGAAGAAGGCCUUAGGGUUGUAAAGCUCUUUCGUCCACGACGAUAAUGACGGUAGUGGAAGAAGAAGCCCCGGCUAACUCCGUGCCAGCAGCCGCGGUAAUACGGAGGGGGCUAGCGUUGUUCGGAAUUACUGGGCGUAAAGCGCGCGUAGGCGGCCAUGCAAGUCAGAGGUGAAAGCCCGGAGCUUAACUUCGGAACUGCCUUUGAGACUGCAUGGCUUGAACCCGGGAGAGGUAAGUGGAAUUCCGAGUGUAGAGGUGAAAUUCGUAGAUAUUCGGAGGAACACCAGUGGCGAAGGCGGCUUACUGGACCGGUGUUGACGCUGAGGCGCGAAAGCGUGGGGAGCAAA